rnacentral:lncRNA from 1 species
CAUUUGAUGAUUGUAUUAAGGUUAAACAAUCUGGGAUUUAUUUGUUUAAGUUAUGUAACCCUUUAAUGAGAAGGUUUAUUGUUUAGAUUUUAUUUAACUUGGGUAGUUAGAUACGAAUGACUGAACAGUGAACACCAAAUCCUGUGGGAAUGAAGUACUCGAAUUGGGGGUGUCACAAGUUGGUAUCAAAGCUUUAGGUUGUGAACCUUAGGUGGGGAAAAACCUUAUGAUGUAACCUUAUAUGAGAUUGAAAAGAUAACGGUGAUAAACUCUUAUCGGGUUCUAAGGAAUAAAUAAUAAAACACUCUAUGUGGUUAUAUGUUUAUAACAUAUGUGUUUGCGAGUAUUGAG